UAUUCACACAUAUUUGGGGAAAACGUAUAUUGCAAUAUCUAAGAUAUCACAUAAAUAUCACAGUCAUCGGAGAAUUAUGGCACCUGAGGAUUUAUUUAAUAUAAACACCCAUAGGAGCCAACUCCGAAUCAGUUGGCUCAGAGGCUUAAACCCAUCUCAACAUAUCUGACACACGUCUUGCUUGUACACUGUACUUGGAGAUAAGUAAGGACCUACAGAAAAAUCCCAUACCUUAGUCUCCAAACCCCAGCCUGGCACCGACCAAAUCUCGGAGUCUUCACUCGGAGCACAAAACAGACUCGCGAUUAUCAAACUGGAUUUGCUAGCAGUCAGAUUCAUUAAAGAGUUCCCUACCCCAUCCACCAACCACCAACCACAUCCCACAUCCAUACAUCAGAGUAGACAACCUCUGGUGAAUUACGCGCCCGCUCCUCCGCAAAGCCGAGACUGUGGUGGACAACAUGGCGGCGACCUUUGACCGCGGCACAGCGCUGUGACCGGUCGCGCCCUCGGUGUUACGUAAUUCGCAUCUUAAUUAAAAACUCGGAUCACCUCGGCGCGACCUCCGUCAGCUGCUGUUUUGACAGGGAGGCUGCACAGUAAAACUUCUCGCCAGAGAGGCGCAGGAGAGCGCGAGGACAUGGCGGCGGGAUGCGCUUUAUGAGGGCUGGCAACAUAAACAGGUAUUACCCGCCUGGCUCAUGCAAGCCUGCUACAGUGGGAACAUCUGAGACGUGUUGCAUAGGCGUAGCGAAUCGAGCGAAGCUAGCCAAUCUAGCCGGAAGCUAGCAGAGCGCGCCCCUACAAGCUAGCGAACCUAGACCCCUAGCGUAGCAAAGCUAGCGGCCUUUGGAGGUCCUACGCUUGCUAUUCAAAAUGGCCGACAUUGUUGUCGCUUUCAAGUUUGCAGAGGAGAGUUUCUUUGAUGCUCCCGUUAAAAAGGAGUAUUGGACCGGAUACAAAGUGAAACGAAUGUGGGAAAUCAAUGGACCAAGGGGGCAGUACUUUUUCUCAUGGACACUUAUGCCGAACAUAAGGAACAAUUUGCAAUUCCAACUUGAAAAUAGAGGUAUGGAAGAGGAUUGCUUGGGAAAUGGCAGCCUCAGGAUGCCACUUUGCUCCAGCAGCACUUGAGAAAAAAAUGGAGCAAUAUGAAAAUAUGGUACAAAACUAUAGUAGAUUUCAACAAGAAAACGGGCCAGGGAAGAUCACGAUGGAAUUUCUAUUCCAGAAUGGCUGAAAUCUUGGAAGGAGACCCUACGUUCAUCCCACCACUGACAUCAUCAUCACUGGGGAGUGUAAAAGGUGAGUGAACCAUUUAUAACAUAAAUAAGCAAGUAAAGCAUAAUUUUAGUAUAGCCAUAUUUAGUAAA